rnacentral:rRNA from 1 species
UACGUAGGGUGCGAGCGUUGUCCGGAAUUACUGGGCGUAAAGAGCUCGUAGGUGGUUUGUCGCGUUGUUCGUGAAAACCGGGGGCUUAACCCUCGGCGUGCGGGCGAUACGGGCAGACUUGAGUACUGCAGGGGAGACUGGAAUUCCUGGUGUAGCGGUGGAAUGCGCAGAUAUCAGGAGGAACACCGGUGGCGAAGGCGGCUUUCUGGGCCUUACCUGACGCUGAGGAGCGAAAGCUGGGGGAGCAAACAGG